UUAUCCAGGAGAGAAUUAAGUAAGAGUCUGGUACCUUUUUAAGUCUGAUGAGAAACAUUGGCUGGGCACAGUGGCUCACGCCUGUAAUCCCAGCACUUUGGGAGGCCAAGGCAGGCGGACCACCUGAGGUCAGGAGUUCGAGACCAGCCUGGCCAACAUGGUGAAACCUCAUCUCUACUAAAAAUACACACACACACCCCAAAUUAGCUGGGCGUGGUGGUGCAUGCCUGUAAUCCAGCUGCUCAGGAGGCUGAGGCAGAAGAAUGGCUUGAACCCAGGAGGUGGAGGUUGCAGUGAGCUGAGAUUGCGCCACUGUACUCUAGCCUGGGUGACAAGAGUGAAACUACAUCUCAAAAAAAAAAAAAAAAAAAACAAGAAAAGAAAAAGAAACAUCUACACAUAAUGAAAAUGUCCCUCUGGCAAAGUUAUGACUCAGCACAUAUAUCCAGGGGUCACUCUGUCAGUCCACAGAAAAUAGGCGACCCAGUGGUGAGCAUGUUACUUUUGAAAAGUGUCUUUUGUGUCCAGAGAUACACAAAAAGCCAAUACAUGCAUGAAAAGUUCCUCAACAUCGUUAGUCAUCAGGAAAAUGCAUAUCAAAACCACAACCAGAGACCACUUCAUGCCCACUAGGGUAGCUAUAAUCAAAGAGAUGGACAAGAAAAAGUGUUGAUAAGAACGUGGGGAUAUUAGAACCCUCACACAUUGCUCAUGGGACUGUAAAAUGGUGCAGCCACUUUAGAAAAUAGCUUUGCAGUUU
rnacentral:lncRNA from 1 species